rnacentral:rRNA from 1 species
AUACGGAGGGUGCAAGCGUUAUUCGGAAUCACUGGGCGUAAAGGACGCGUAGGCGGGUUGGCAAGUCAGGUGUGAAAUCCUACAGCUUAACUGUAGAACUGCAUUUGAAACUGCUAACCUAGAGUAUGGGAGGGGGAGAUGGAAUUAGUGGUGUAGGGGUAAAAUCCGUAGAUAUCACUAGGAAUACCGAAAGCGAAGGCGAUCUCCUGGAACAUAACUGACGCUAAGGCGUGAAAGCGUGGGGAGCAAACAGGAUUAGAAACCCUAGUAGUCC